rnacentral:rRNA from 1 species
UACGUAGGGGGCAAGCGUUGUCCGGAUUUAUUGGGCGUAAAGAGCGUGUAGGCGGCCUGAAAGGUCAGCUGUGAAAACUCGAGGCUUAACCUCGAGACGUCGGUUGAAACCAUCUGGCUAGAGUCCGGAAGAGGAGAGUGGAAUUCCCGGUGUAGCGGUGAAAUGCGCAGAUAUCGGGAAGAACACCCGUGGCGAAGGCGGCUCUCUGGGACGGUACUGACGCUGAGACGCGAAAGCGUGGGGAGCGAACAGG